rnacentral:rRNA from 1 species
UACGUAGGGAGCAAGCGUUGUCCGGAUUUACUGGGUGUAAAGGGUGCGUAGGCGGCUUUGCAAGUCAGUGGUGAAAUCCAUGGGCUUAACCCAUGAACUGCUUUUGAAACUGCAGAGCUUGAGUGGAGUAGAGGUAGGCGGAAUUCCCGGUGUAGCGGUGAAAUGCGUAGAGAUCGGGAGGAACACCAGUGGCGAAGGCGGCCUGCUGGGCUCUAACUGACGCUGAGGCACGAAAGCGUGGGUAGCAAACAGG